AUUUUGCCCAACAGACCUCAUUACAGUUUCUAACCUGUUUUAUUUAUUUAUUUUUUUUCUGAGACAGGGUCUCCCUCUGUUGUCCAAGGCUGGAGUGUAGUAGCGCUAUCGCAGCUGACUGCAGCCUCAACCUUCCAGGCUGAAGCAAUCCUCCCACCUCAACCUCCCACGUGGCUGAGACUACAGGUGCUUGCCACUAUGCCCAACUAAUAUUUGGAAUUUUCGUAUACGUGGAUUCCAGAGGGGUGACAGCGAAACGUGAGUGGGACCAUCCAGUUGCAGGAAAACAAGAUUAACACGCCCAGUGAUUCUACAUUAUGCUCCUACCUCCCGGCAGCCUCUCCAGGCCCAGAACUUUCUCCAGUCAGCCUCUACAGACCAAGCUCAUGACUCACCAUGGCCUAUUUAGGCCCAUACCCUACGUCACGGCAGUCUCCGCAGAUGAGGCUACUGCCUCACAACAGCCUCCACAGGCACAGCUCCAUCGUUACAAUGGCCUCUUUAGACCCAGCUCCUGCCUCCCAGCCUUCUCUCCAGGCCCUGAACUUUGUCAAGUCGACCUCACCAGGCCCAGCUCAUGCUUCUUUGCAGCCUCCUCAGGCCCAGCUCCUGCAUCUUGGUGGCCCCUCCAGGCCCAGCCUCUGCCUCCCGUCAGCCUCUACAUUCCCAACAUCUGCCUCACAGCAGAUUCUGCACGCCCAGCAUCUGUCUCACUGUGGACCCCCCAAGCCAAGCUCCCAACCUUUCAGUAGCUUCUACACACCCAGCUCCUGCCACCCAGUGGCCUCUUUAGGCGAAGCUCAUGCUUCACAAGGGCCUUUCCAGGCCCAACUUUUGUCUCAUGGCAACCUUCCCUGGCCAGAUUCCUGCCUGUCUCCCAGCAGCCUAGACAGGCCCAGGUUUUGCCUCACACUGGCCUCUCUACAUCCAGCUUAUGCCUCACGGUGGCCUCUCCAGGCCCAACUCCUGUUCCAGGACGUCAUCUCCGGGCCCAAAACUUACUCACGUCAGACUCUCUAGUCCCAACUGCUGCCUCCUGGUGGCCUAUGAAGGCCCAAAAUCUCCUCAAGUUGACCUCUCCAGGCCCGACUUCUGCCUCUCAACAACCUCUUUGGACUCAGUGCCUAUCCAUCUCCUGGCGGCCUUGGUCGGCCCACAGCUUCCUCAAGCCAAGCUCCCCAGGCCCAGGUCAGGCCUCACGGUGGCCUCUCCAGGAUGAGCUCCUGCCCUCCGAUGGCAUCUCCAGGCCCGAAAUGGUCUCCGGUUGGUGGGCUCCUCCACGCCAAGCUGGGGCCUCCCGGCAACCGCCGCAGGCCCAAGUUGUCCUGAAGUCGGCCUCUCCCGGGCCUGCCUCCCAGCAAGUAAGCAAGCUCUUUUGGCUCAACUCCUGCCCAGCUCCCAACCGCCUUUGUAGGCCCCGAACUUUCUCCAGCCAAGCUCUGAGGGCCCACUUCCUGCCUCCUGGUGGCCUGUACGGGCCUAGCACUGGUU
rnacentral:lncRNA from 1 species